GUCCAGGGAUGGGAAUCGAACCCACAAUGUUCCGCUUACCUGGCAGAUGCCAUGUCCACUAGGCUACCCUGGA
rnacentral:tRNA from 1 species